rnacentral:rRNA from 1 species
UACAGAGGUCUCAAGCGUUGUUCGGAUUCAUUGGGCGUAAAGGGUGCGUAGGCGGCGCGGUAAGUCGGGUGUGAAAUCUUGGAGCUUAACUCCGAAACUGCAUUCGAUACUGCCGUGCUUGAGGACUGGAGAGGGGACUGGAAUUUACGGUGUAGCGGUGAAAUGCGUAGAUAUCGUAAGGAAGACCAGUGGCGAAGGCGGGUCUCUGGACAGUUCCUGACACUGAGACACGAAGGCCAGGGGAGCAAACGGG